GUUCAGGAAGCACGGACGGAGAGACGGACCCGCACACACAGACGGUGACACGCGGAUGCGAGCAGCCAGACGGACAGUCCGAGCAAGGGGCAGAGAAGCAGAGAGACAGGCGAGGCGGGCGGUUAAAGAGGCACAUGCAGAGUGCGUUCGCGUGACGCCCGCCAGCCACUAGAGGUCACUGCAAAGACCUCAACCUGGGGCAGCCACGACCGUCCACCCCGGAUGACACAUUGUGUCAUAAUAUUGACGCCAACGAGUAAGGCUGCGUCGCCGCCGCCGCCGCCGCCGUCGCACCAUAGUUGCUCACUCUCGUCGAGAAACCCGAGAGACACACAGAGAAAGAGAGAGAGAGGACGACCCAGAGGCACCAGGAGGAGGAACAACGGGGUGUAGGAGCAACAGCCACCCUUCCAGCAGUGAUCCACUAACCCCAGGAUGCGUCCACAGCGCUGGAUUACAGGCCACGCGGGUAGCCAACACGGCCCGGUAUCCAAAGACGACGAAGACUUAGCAUAUCAUACUCGUUGGUUCUUUCGGUAAAGUCAUGUAGAUGAAAAUUAAAAAUAAUAGUAAAAAGAAUAAAAUGAAAAUAUUCUUAGGUUGUUUUACUUGAUACAGCUGUCGGGCUGUGACGGUUCCACCUGAAGACGGAAGCUUGUGUUGCCUCCGAAACGUCGUGAUUUUUAUUUUAUUUUACUUUGAUUAAUUAAAAAUUUUACCUA